CCUGAGUUUCCAAACGUGUGGCGGAAGCCAUUCUGUAUGACAUUUGAGAUCCCUUCCAUGCUGAAGCGUGUUCCAGGCAUAUGACCUCUUUCUUGCUUCCCAUUCUGAGGACUACCAUUUUUCAGCUUCUUUUUCUUCUUUGCUGUUUCUUUGUGCUCUCUCUGUUUAUUUUGUACUUCGAUGAGGACAGAAAUGAAGCUGUUUUUCACUUCCUUCUCGAACUCCAACUCAUCUCGCAGUGCCAACUGCUGUACCAGCUCCUCAGAAUAAUCCUUAAUAGCAGUCUCAAUUUCUUCUAGCAGUUCAUUUAACUCAGCAACAGACAAUCUUUUUACUCUCUCCUCGUAGCUGUUGUUUGUACUGGAUCUCUUGAGUGUUUGAAUUUCCUGGGAAAGUAUGGAGAGACGAUCAGACUGAGUUGGUGUUUCAUCGUCUUCGGGAUCAGGAGAUUCCUGCAUCAUUUCUUCUAUUUCUUCAAUCACCUGUUCUGCUGUGAACAGUGGUUCAUCAUUGAUGCAGGAAACAAUGAUGGAAUGCAUAUCCAGCUGUUCUCUCAGCUCUUCAUCAUCUGACAGGUCAAGGUUUAAGUUAUCAUUUACCCCUUUUUCUGAAAGGUUCAGAGUUGGCAAAUGCAAAGCUCUGGUGUGGGAAGAUUUCCAGUCAACCGGCAUUACGUUACCAUAAUUAUCAGUCAAAGCAUUCCAAAUCUCGUCGUCCUGCAGCGCGCUCUGCUCCGUGAGGGGCCGCAGCGGAACGCGGCUCUCGCCGCAACCGGCAGCGCGGGCCGGGGGGGGCUCGAAGCAGAGAGACAACUUCGCCCCCAGAUCCCAACCGCCUUUGUCGCCUCGGGCGGCUUCGGGAGCGCUCCCCGCCGAGGGCUGGAAGCCCGAAAAGUCCUGCCAGUCCCCCGGGUCUCGCUGCGAGGCCGCCGCCGCCAUCGCCGCAGCUGGAGACGCCGGGCUGCGCGCCCCCGGCCACGGCUCCGGGCGCUGCGCGCUCCCAGCGGCUCCGCGGGGUUGGGGGGGAGGAGGCGG
rnacentral:lncRNA from 1 species